AUUGAACGCUGGCGGCAGGCCUAACACAUGCAAGUCGAGCGGAUGAGUGGAGCUUGCUCCAUGAUUCAGCGGCGGACGGGUGAGUAAUGCCUAGGAAUCUGCCUGGUAGUGGGGGACAACGUUUCGAAAGGAACGCUAAUACCGCAUACGUCCUACGGGAGAAAGUGGGGGAUCUCCGGACCUCACGCUAUCAGAUGAGCCUAGGUCGGAUUAGCUAGUUGGUGAGGUAAAGGCUCACCAAGGCGACGAUCCGUAACUGGUCUGAGAGGAUGAUCAGUCACACUGGAACUGAGACACGGUCCAGACUCCUACGGGAGGCAGCAGUGGGGAAUAUUGGACAAUGGGCGAAAGCCUGAUCCAGCCAUGCCGCGUGUGUGAAGAAGGUCUUCGGAUUGUAAAGCACUUUAAGUUGGGAGGAAGGGCAGUAAGUUAAUACCUUGCUGUUUUGACGUUACCAACAGAAUAAGCACCGGCUAACUUCGUG
rnacentral:rRNA from 1 species